ACCAGCCGACACCCAGAUGUUUUAAUCUCCCUCUCUCAAUCUUUCUUUCUUUGUUCUCUGAUGAACAUUUUCUUCCACACUACAAAACCAUAUCCAAACUAAAUAUAACACACAGACCACAUUCCUCAGACAUAUGCUCUCAAACAACCAUCCUCCAUCUUGAUUCCCCUUUCCCCACCUCGAUAACAGUUGCCGGAGCCGGUUAAUCGGCGCUCCGGUGUUGUGAAAUCGCACCAGACGACACACCACACCCUUACACCUCUCGUUCUUCCCUCUCAAUCCCGACGGAGGUCGCAGCCGACCAAGGAGGAGCCGGCCAGCAAUUAACUGGCGGCGAGCGACGUUGACGAGAACAAAGAUCAGAGAGAGAGAGAGAGAGGAAGAGAGAACGAACAGAGAGAGAAAGAAAGAGACCAGCAGGGGAGGUGACGGCGGAGCGGCGCCGCCGCUCGCGACGGCUGUGGUGGUUCGAGCGACGGCAGGGACUUCUGGCGGCGGUCCGGUGACAUUCAUAAUCGGGUGGUGGUCUCGUUGUCGGCUCAGGCACGGUGGAGCAUCGGCUCAGUUUUGUGCUCAGUUUUGAGUUCGGUUCGGGUUACGGCUUCGGUUCCAGAAGUAAGCUCGGUUCAGUUCAGAUUUGUGAAGUGGCUCGGGUCAGGAGGUCAACAGCAACUCGGGCGAGUCUGGUUUCUGUUCGGGUCUCGUUACGGAUGGGUCAACAGUCAACAACGGUCGGGCUUGGUCAGCAUUGGUCAACCCGUGGUUUGGGUCGCGAGGUUCAAUUAGACGGCUUGGUUCGGUUGACUCGGUCAAACCGAGUCAACUUGGUCAAACCUGGUCAACUCGGUUAGUCGACUCGGUCAACUCAGUUGACCCGGUCAACUCAGUCAACUUUUAUCCGCGAAACAACAUGAGAAAUGUUGCACGCUAGCUAAUUCAAGUUCUUGGAACAACUCAUGGAAACACAUGUAGUUAGCUUUGAACAGGAAUAUCAAGGUUGCAUUUUACAAACUACGGAACGGUUGGAAUAGAAGAACCCAUGGGAAUUCGAGUACUUAGCGGCCGUUCACUGUUUAGAAGUCUUAGCUCAAAUACUUCCGCUGUGCAAUGAAGAUACCAGUCCAGUCACGCCAGCUCUGAUAUUUCGGGGUGUGACAAUGUUUAAUCAUUUAAGUAUCGAACACGUGGAAUUGUUGAUUGAUCUAUCGGGUUGAUAACCCUGUCGUGACCGGUAACUCCGGUCCACAUAGCGGUGAAUUGAUAUUCUAUAAUUGUCUAGUAUUGAUUAUAACCUCCUUCGUAGUACAUACCUUGUAACGUCUUGCAAACUUACGAAACUGAAAGAAUGACUGAAUUUAAUAUCAAAAACCGUGGGUACAAGUUUUCAUCGGAGAUGUGUUUAUUAAAAUUCCGGUUGAAUCAACCAUGGAUUUUACAAAGGAAAUAAAAUUAACUUUUUUAAACAUAUAUGGAUGUUUUAAAUCAUUAAAAUUCUAUAAUAAGAAUGUUUUUCCUUAUACAAAUUGUUAUGAAUUUGAUAUGUGAACUCACCCUCCAUUGUGUUAACACUUGAUUUUUUUACGUGUUCUUCAGGUACAUGAGUUCGGCUUCGGGGACUUUGGCUUAUGUUGUCUUGUGGUUGUGUGAUGCUGUUGUAAUUAAAUAAUGUUUGGACACUUUUAAACUACUUUUGGGACCGUGUGUAAUAAGACCCCUAAGGGUCGGACAACUGUGAUGUGAUUGUGAUGAAUGUGGAAACUUAAAACUAUGUUUU
rnacentral:lncRNA from 1 species